CUCAGCCAGACCACAUUUCAGAUUUUGUUGGAGGUAAAAAAAAAAAAAAAAAAAAAGAGCUGGUAACAGACUGUAGCCUCAAGCUUGCAAUCAGACCCGGAGGAGGAAGGUUACCAUGUGAGCUCCAGGAGCCCGUCUGCACGGAUCCAGUUUCAGGGGGAAGAGGACAGAAUGGAAAACCUGAAAACCAUGGAGAAUUUUGUUGCAGAGAAGCUAAUUCUAAGAUGUUACAGAUGGAAGCAGGAAAAUGAUAA